rnacentral:rRNA from 1 species
AUUGAACGCUGGCGGCAGGCUUAACACAUGCAAGUCGAGCGGAGACUUCGGUCUUAGCGGCGAACGGGUGAGUAAUACCUAGGAAUCUGCCUAUUAGUGGGGGAUAACGAAUCGAAAGGUUCGCUAAUACCGCAUACGUCCUACGGGANAAAGGGGGGGAUCUUCGGGACCUCUCGCUAAUAGAUGAGCCUAGGCCGGAUUAGCUAGUUGGUAGGGUAAAGGCCUACCAAGGCGACGAUCUGUAGCUGGUCUGAGAGGAUGGCCAGCCACACUGAAACUGAGACACGGUCCAGACUCCUACGGGAGGCAGCAGUGGGGAAUAUUGGACAAUGGGGGCAACCCUGAUCCAGCCAUGCCGCGUGUGUGAAGAAGGCCUUCGGGUUGUAAACUGCUUUUGUCAGGGAAGAAAUCUUCUGGGUUAAUACCUCGGGAGGAUGACGGUACCUGAAGAAUAAGCACCGGCUAACUACGUG